rnacentral:tRNA from 1 species
GCCUGGGUGGCUCAGUUGGUUGAGUGUAUGACUUUGGCUCAGGUCAUGAUCUCACGGUUCAUGAGUUCAAGCCCCAUAUCAGGCU